CCUACGGGCGGCAGCAGUGGGGAAUAUUGCGCAAUGGGCGAAAGCCUGACGCAGCGACGCCGCGUGAGGGAUGAAGGUUUUCGGAGCGGAAACCUCUGUCAGAAGGGAAGAAGGUGCAGGGGGCCAAGCACCUGUGCAUUGACGGUACCUGCAAAGGAAGCACCGGCUAACUCCGUGCCAGCAGCCGCGGUAAUACGGAGGGUGCGUGCGUUAAUCGGAAUUACUGGGCGGAAAGCCCACGUAGGCUGUAUGUCAAGUCAAGGGUGAAAUCCCACGGCUCCACCGUGGAACUGCCUUUGAAACUGGCAAACUGGAGUAUGUGAGAGGGCGGCGGAAUUCCUGGUGU
rnacentral:rRNA from 1 species